rnacentral:rRNA from 1 species
GUCGCACGAGAAAGGGUAGCAAUACCUGAGUACAGUGGCGCACGGGUGAGUAACACGUGAAUUAUCUACCUCCGAGUGGGGAAUAACCUAGAGAAAUCUGGGCUAAUACCGCAUAACACUUACGAGUCAAAGCAGCAAUGCGCUUGGAGAGGAGCUCGCGGCCGAUUAGUUAGUUGGCGGGGUAAUGGCCCACCAAGACGAUGAUCGGUAUCCGGCCUGAGAGGGCGCACGGACACACUGGAACUGAAACACGGUCCAGACUCCUACGGGAGGCAGCAGUGGGGAAUUUUGCGCAAUGGGGGAAACCCUGACGCAGCAACGCCGCGUGGAGGAUGAAAUCCCUUGGGAUGUAAACUCCUUUCGAUCGGGACGAUUAUGACGGUACCGGAAGAAGAAGCCCCGGCUAACUUCGUGCCAGCAGCCGCGGUAAUACGAGGGGGGCAAGCGUUGUUCGGAAUUAUUGGGCGUAAAGGGCGCGUAGGCGGUUUGACAAGUCUGAUGUGAAAUCUCUGGGCUCAACCCAGAGUCUGCAUUAGAAACUGUCGGGCUUGAGUAUGGGAGAGGUGAGUGGAAUUUCCGGUGUAGCGGUGAAAUGCGUAGAUAUCGGAAGGAACACCUGUGGCGAAAGCGGCUCACUGGACCAUAACUGACGCUGAGGCGCGAAAGCUAGGGGAGCAAACA